UACGAAGGGUGCAAGCGUUACUCGGAAUUACUGGGCGUAAAGCGCACGUAGGCGGGUGGUUAAGUCAGGGGUGAAAUCCCGGAGCUCAACUCCGGAACUGCCUUUGAUACUGGCCAUCUAGAGAUCGGAAGAGGUGAGUGGAAAUUCCCAGUGUAGAGGUGAAAAUUCGUAGAUAUUGGGAAGAACACCAGUGGCGAAGGCGGCUCACUGGUCCGAUACUGACGCUGAGGUGGCGAAAAGCGUGGGGGAGCAAAACAGG
rnacentral:rRNA from 1 species